rnacentral:rRNA from 1 species
AGGACGAACGCUGGCGGCGUGCUUAACACAUGCAAGUCGAGCGGAAAGGCCCUUCGGGGUACUCGAGCGGCGAACGGGUGAGUAACACGUGAGCAACCUGCCCUUAGCUCUGGGAUAGCUCCGGGAAACCGGAAUUAAUACCGGAUAUGACCUAGGCCGACAUCGGCCGUGGUGGAAAGUUUUUCGGCUAGGGAUGGACUCGCGGCCUAUCAGCUAGUUGGUGGGGUAAUGGCCUACCAAGGCGACGACGGGUAGCCGGCCUGAGAGGGCGACCGGCCACACUGGGACUGAGACACGGCCCAGACUCCUACGGGAGGCAGCAGUGGGGAAUCUUGCGCAAUGGGCGAAAGCCUGACGCAGCGACGCCGCGUGGGGGAUGAAGGCCUUCGGGUUGUAAACCCCUUCAGCAGGGACGAAGCGAAAGUGACGGUACCUGCAGAAGAAGCGCCGGCUAACUACGUGCCAGCAGCCGC